AUAUCUUUUAUAGUUCAGAAUAACUAUAGAAGAUACAUAAUCCUAGAAGUUUUAGACUGAAAACACCACAAGAUACACAGCAGACUCAAAGAAUGGCAGAUGUCCUAAACAGCACGGAAAGUCAAGACACUCUGACAAAGUAAAAACAAAACAAAACAAAACAAAACCCCUAAAUGAAAAAUCUGUGAGAGCCCAGCAAAAAGAACGAGCCAUCAAAGAAGGGGGUACCUUUCUCUGAAGGGAGGAGAGAACUUCCACUUUGAUUAUGGCCUUGUCUAAACAAGGUCAGAGUUUGUGAACUCAAGAGGCUUCCAUAGCCUUGACAGCUCAUGACAAGAGCCUCAGGUGAUUACUGACAUCAUAAAUAAGAGUGUCAAUUGUUAAAUCAGCAACAGGAGUCACUGUACACUUACUCCCCAUGUAGGAGCUCUGUCCUUGAUGCAUUGUACUCUGAGGAUUAACGUAAUGACAUGCUGAAAAGCCAACACUACUGACACGCACAGAAAUUCCAGGAAUGCAGCCUGAUCAAUGUUCUUCUGAAGAAACAUAAACAUAAAACUUUUUGUGAAGAAACAAACAAUGUUUAGAAAACGCAUCUGGGAGAAACCAGGGCUCCUGGGAGAAAUGGUGAUUCUAAAUCAGGGCAGAAAAAAUUAUAAGACAAACAGAUAACAACUUAGUGUGUCAAAAAGCAAAGAAGCUAUAAAGAUUAGAUCAUGCCAGAACAAGGCACAAGUUAGAUUAAAGCUUUCCACUGACCAAAGAUGAGACAAUUUGGGCAUCAAAGGAAGUAACUGAAAGAUCAAAACAUGAAUGUAUCAAAAUUUAAGAGUUCAAAUAAAACAACAAUGAUGACCUC